rnacentral:rRNA from 1 species
CCUGGUUGAUUCUGCCGAUUAAAUAUGCUUGUCUCAAAGAUUAAGCCAUGCAUGUCUAACUAUAAACACGUUAUACUGUGAAACUGCGAAUGGCUCAUUAAAUCAGUUAUAGUUUAUUUGAUGGUUUUUGCUACAUGGAUAACUGUGGUAAUUCUAGAGCUAAUACAUGCGUACAAGCCCCGACUUCUGGAAGGGGUGUAUUUAUUAGAUAAAAAUCAACACUGUUGGUGAAUCAUGAUAACUUCUCGGAUCGCAUGGCCUCGUGCUGGCGAUACUUCAUUCAAAUAUCUGCCCUAUCAACUGUCGAUGGUAGGAUAGAGGCCUACCAUGGUUGCAACGGGUAACGGGGAAUAAGGGUUCGAUUCCGGAGAGGGAGCCUGAGAAACGGCUACCACAUCCAAGGAAGGCAGCAGGCGCGCAAAUUACCCAAUCCCGAGACGGGGAGGUAGUGACAAUAUGUAACAAUAUACGGCUUUAUCGUCGUAUAAUUGGAAUGAGUACAAUUUAAAUCCCUUAACGAGGAACAAUUGGAGGGCAAGUCUGGUGCCAGCAGCCGCGGUAAUUCCAGCUCCAAUAGCGUAUAUUAGAGUUGUUGCAGUUAAAAAGCUCGUACUUGGACCUUGGGCCUGGACGGGCGGUCCGCCUCACGGCGUGUACUGUCUUGCCGGGCCUUUCCUCUUGGUGAUCUGUUGUUUCGGCAGCACGGAACCAGGACCUUUACUUUGAGAAAAUUACAGUGUUCAAAGCAGGCUCGACGCCGGAAUAUAUUAACAUGGAAUAAUAAAAUAGGACGUGCGGUUCUAUUUUGUUGCUUUUGGAACGCCGCAAUGAUUAUAGGGACAGUCGGGGGCAUUAGUA